rnacentral:lncRNA from 1 species
GAUUAUUUGGAAAAUGAAAGUAACAACAUUUAUUGUCAGAAUUGUAAUAAAUUAUUGCUAACUAUAUCAAAGGCUGCAUUUGAAGGACUCGGAUUGGUCAAACAGAGCACUGGUCAGCUGUCACAGCUGCCACUGAACACUGACCUGUACUAGUAUGCUCUAUUAAAAAAAUGUAUUCAGUUUUAUUUUUAUGGUUAACUGCCUACCUUGGUCAAGACAAUAAACUACAUAAAAUCGCACCUUUGUAAGAUAUCAGUCAGCAUUUGAACUGCUAUGUGUGUUGUAGUUUUUCAUAUGUAUCAUUACUUUACUCAAGUAAGCUCCAAACCAGUACCUGCAUUUAAAGUUGUAAUCAAACAAAGGAAGCAGCAAACCAGUGUAACUUACCUGGCCUCGGGCUGGUAUAUCACAGUCUCCUCCAUUAUGACGUAAAACAUAUAAACAAAAACUAUCCUAGCAGGGUUGUCUCUCUCCAGCUCUCCUCUCACACCGUUGCUGUGCACAGGGGUGGAGGAAUUAGGAAAUCCUGCAAAGGCGGAGCAUCUCACGCACUUCGGAGGGCUGGUUUACGAAAUGUGCACACUCAAUUUUGGGACACAGCUUAGUUCUCUGUCUAGUGCUUCCACCGAUGACUCUGGACAUGAAUCCUACACUAUUCCUGCUUCUGGUAUUGACAGCUAGCUGGACUGGACCUGUUCAAUGUGAAGACAAUGAAGAGAGAGAGUAUAUCUCUGAAGGCUAUAAUCAUGGGGACGGCUCUGGAGAUGGCAGGCGCUCGUGUACGUAUUCAUCUUUUCAGAUCAUAAAAUAACCAUUUAUGCUUUAUCUGGUCUACUUUUACAGUCUCUAGCUUGGGAAAUUGAUCCUUUACUUAAAUCUUGUUCAGAUGUAGGUUCCACACCAAGCAGUGACUCAGAGCCGACUACAGAGACAGAGACAGACGCAGAAACAGAGAAAGAGACAUUGGGUUUAAAGAUGUGCAUUAAACCUGAAGGUGAACGUGAUAACAGUCUGUUAUAGGAAAAAAUCUGAAUGGAUGCACAUUAGUAAAUCACUUUUUAAACCUACUAAGAUGCAUUUGUAAACUGCUUUACUUCACAAAACACACUCACACACACACACACACACCACUAGUGGCGCCAGGAUUUUUAUUGUAAGUGGGCCUCCAGAAAACUGGAUUGGUCAGUUAAAAUACCCCCACACCCUUCAACUCCAUUCCAGUGCUUUUCUGCGGCACUGAGGACAGC